rnacentral:rRNA from 1 species
CAGGCCUAACACAUGCAAGUCGGACGGUAGCACAGAGGAGCUUGCUCCUCGGGUGACGAGUGGCGGACGGGUGAGUAAUGUCUGGGGAUCUGCCCGAUAGAGGGGGAUAACCACUGGAAACGGUGGCUAAUACCGCAUAACGUCGCAAGACCAAAGAGGGGGACCUUCGGGCCUCUCACUAUCGGAUGAACCCAGAUGGGAUUAGCUAGUAGGCGGGGUAACGGCCCACCUAGGCGACGAUCCCUAGCUGGUCUGAGAGGAUGACCAGCCACACUGGAACUGAGACACGGUCCAGACUCCUACGGGAGGCAGCAGUGGGGAAUAUUGCACAAUGGGCGCAAGCCUGAUGCAGCCAUGCCGCGUGUAUGAAGAAGGCCUUCGGGUUGUAAAGUACUUUCAGCGGGGAGGAAGGCAUUGCGGUUAAUAACCGCAGUGAUUGACGUUACCCGCAGAAGAAGCACCGGCUAACUCCGUGCCAGCAGCCGCGGUAAU